AGAUGACGAUGCGUGCAAACUAUGGGGUGUUGAUAAAGGCCCUACAAAUGUUAUGAUACACACUGAAGAUGGCCGAGUAUUUAAUGUUUCUUUAAGCGCUUCUAAAGGAAAGUUAUUCUUUUUCCAUGGUUGGUCCAAUGUUGUAGAACAUUUGUGACUAACCAAAGGCUGUUUGGUAGUAUUUAAUCCUGCAGAUUCUACUAUGUUUAAAUUAACAUAUUUCAUCGAUGGGGUUAGUCGUGGCUCUUUCUGGACAUAUCUGCUCCCUCCAUCAUCUCAUUUUUAUGUCAUUCCUGAAUGUAUUCUGCCAAAAAUUUAUGAUUAUUCCUCAAAUGAUGUAAUCUCUACUGUAAUUAUAGACAACAAAACGUUUAACGUUGCCAUUGAAACGUCUGACGGUAAAGUCGGUUUUACCGUUGGUAUUGACAUAAUUGUUAGUUAGUUACAGUUGGAGGUUGGUUGUUUUUUGUUAUUUACAAAAGCUUUUGGUAAUUUUUUCCAUUUAAAAAUUUUUGGGAAAAAUGGUGUUAAAAUGAAUUUUCCUGAUGUAGAUGUCGAUGAGGUAAGUUACGUUUUGGUACUUAUUUAUAUAUUUGAUAUAUGCUAAUGUAACACAUGUUAUAUAUUUAAUUUAGAGGCUGAAGUUGCACCUAUCGAUGCUGAAAAUGAAAUUGAUGAACAAAUACAUGGUGGUGUUCGUCGGUUUGUUCGUAUGGCCGGUGAAGAUUAUUUUGUAAGUUUUAAUAUCAUUUUACAAACUUCUAAAAAACAAGUGUUCCAAUUUUUUUUACUUAAUAAACGUUGUUCUUUUUAGUUUCAUAUUUAUUAUUAAUUUUAUUUUUACAACAAUACAGAGGCUUCCUGAUCCUGUUUCACAGAUGACUAAAUUUGAUGAAGGUUUAAAAGAUAUCACUGUCAGACUUAUGCAUCUGGAUCCGCCACAGCAGAUUACCAACGGUACAAGACGUGAAAGAAAAAGCAUAGGAGGUUUUCGAUACGCGUUAACCCGUUGGAAGAAGUUCAUGAAAGCCGCUCAAUUUAAGGUCCGUGACACGGUUCACUUUUCUUUUGAUGAAAAUGAGCAGGUGUUGAGUGUUGAAAUGGUUGUACCUUACGUUAGGCGUAGUUAUUAGUUAUAUGACAUUUAGGGCAUGUUUUUUGCCUUUCAUACGGUAUAUAUUAAUUUUUUAUAUGGUUAUUGGUUUUUAACAUUGGUUAUGGUUUUGAAUUUCAAGUUAUUACAUUUUUUCAUAUCUUAACUGUGCUUUUAACCACUAUAUGCCAUGUCUUGAAAGUUUAGUCUAUGUUUUUAGUAGUUUUUAUUCCCACUACACAUAUGAUAGAUCAAAAACGAUAUUGAAACAACUUUUAAAGAUAAAAAGAAAUUGAUAUAUUCGCAUAUUAAGAUUGCUGAUUAUUGUUUACAAAUAAAAUAGUGUUUAUAUAACUCAGUGUUGAAUGUGUUAUAUAUAUCUAAUAAAAUUACACGUAUCAUAGAUCAAAAACGAUAUAGAAACAACUUUUACAUAUAUAAAGAAAUUAAUAUUAAUAUAUUCAAAUAAUAAUAUUGCUGUUUAUUUUUUUAAAAUAUAUUAUCAUGGCUUUUUAAAAAUAUAUACAAAAUUUAAAUUUUAAUCAGGAAAGUCAAUCAUAUUUAUAUCUGAUUGAUAUUAUACCUUUAAGUAAAUAAAUUAACCAAAAAGAAGUUCAUAUAUUUAUUUAAAUAAUAUUUAAAUUAUUUCAAAUUUAGUUGAGUGUUUUCUUAAAUUUUAUAAGUCCUUAACUGAUGCUAAUGAUGUUAAUAAUUUCUUCAAAAAGUAUAUUCUUAUUUUAUUAUAUGUUAAUCAAUUAAGCAUUUAUCAUGAUUUAAAAUAAUCAGGAUCCCAUUCUUUCUUUUAUCUUUAUCUUUUCUGCACAAAGAGUAUAGUAUUGUUAUUAUUUAGAAGAUAGUAUUAUGAACCUUUACUACUACAUAUAGAAUAAAUAGAUAACACUAUGAUUGUCAUUUUUAAACCUUACAUUAUAGUUUUGACCUGUUACAUUAUAAGCUUUUUAUAUAAGAUUUAACAUAAAAACCUAUUUAUAUUCAUUUUAAUUAUAGAAAGUCAACUGUCACUUAAUAGGUUGCAAUUUCAAAAUUUCGUCCUUACUUUGUAAGUGAUUAAUCAUAAAAAUUUCGUCCUUACUUUACAAUUUCAAACUGAUAAUUAUGGAAACUGAUUAUUCAUAAAAAUUUAGAAAAAUCUAUUUUUUAUAUUUUAGUAAAGGUUGACAAUUAUAAUUAAAAUAAAAAAUAUCGCUACCAAAAUUAUGUGCUCCCUUUCUUCUAUAAAUAAGUCUCAUUUCUUAUCUUUUAUACACAUCACAUCUACUGACUUUGUAUAUUUCGAUAUACGUAUCUUCUGGUAUGAGUUUUGUGAGUUUCAUUGUAAUUCAUAUACUUAUUUUAUUCCUGACUUAACAUAUGAUGUUUUCCAUGUACUUUUCUUCAAAAAUUGUUUUAUAUCAUCAUCAAGUAACUUAUCUUAAUUGUUUUUAUUAAUUGCAGAGAUGGAACAGCCUGCUAUCACACUUCUUAAUAAUGUUGAUCUUAAUGUUGAUGAUUACACUAUCAGAAUCCGCAUAGUCCGGCUAUGGACAAGACCUACCUUCUACAAUCCUAGAAAGAUUUAUUACUACGACAUGAUAUUCAUGGACCAGGAGGUUUUUUUAGCCCAAUGCAUACAUUUUUUCUGAAUUUAAAAUUAAUGUGUUACUGUUUAUAAUUAAUUAUAAAACGUUGUUUUUCAGGGCACCAAAAUGUAGGCAUUUGUUUUACAGAAAAACACAACUGGUUAUGAGCAUUUGCUAAAAGAAAAUCAAUGUUUAACUAUUCGUAACCCUUCCAGGGGUGAAAAUCGUCAAAAAGUUAAAUAUGUUCAUAGUUCGUUGAAGAUCAAUCUAAAUGACAACACUACUGUCGAAGAAUGCAACGAGCCUGUUGGUGCUGAAUGGGGAUUUGAUUGUUCUCCAUUUGAUUCUGUUGUGGAUGACCCUCAUGAUGAUGGCAAGUCUUUCAAAAGCCCGAUUGGUACUUUAUUUUUAAAUUUUUUCUUCAAUUUUAUUAAUUUAAUAUUAUAUAUUAUAUGUAAUAUUAAUUUCAUUAUUUUGUAUUCUUUUGAUGUUAUUGGUUUUGUGGUUAAGUGUCUUCCGUCAGAGGAUAAAAGUGAACAUAAUAACGGCAAAGACGAGAAGAAGACUACCUUUAUUUUGGAAGAUUUGCAGUACAUUCUUUUAUAUAUAUACAUACUUUUACUUAUAUAUUUCUCCCAUUUUAUAUAUUUUUUACAACUACCAACUUACAUAUUUAAAUUUUAUUUUGUAGACACCAUCAGAUUUACGUGAUGUUAUGGGGUUGUUAUGCUGAUCAGAUUUUAGAAUUUGAGAAGAACAAUAAGGAUGAAAAAAAUGUUGUGGUCGUUGUUCAGUUUGGGAAGUACAGAUUUUGGGGGGGUAUAUUCUAUACCGACACUCUCACUUUUCAUUCAACUACAUAUUUAAUUUAUUCAAGUUGUCGUUUUAUUUACAUGUUGCUAUAAUUAAACAGGUAAUUUGUUUGUCUCCAAUUUGUAUAAUGUAACUCGAGUCUUCGUAAACUCUGAAGUAAAAGAGAUUUUGGAUUUCAAGAAAAGUUUUGUAAUCUUAUUACCUUUUUUUAUAAUAUCUUUUCAAUAUGUAUUACUUUUAUAACAUUCAUUAUUUUUCCUGUAAACUUUCCUUGCUCAGCUUACUGUUUCAACGUCUUCCGGUUAUUCUGGAUUGAGUUCUUCUGCUAUCAAGUCAACGACUGAGGAAUAUCUAUCUAAUGUUUCCUUUAGUACAAUUGGAGCAUUAAGCGAAAUCUCCGAAGUAUUGUUACAAUAAUUUAUUGUUUUAUUUUUUAUACGUAUUAUUUUUUUUCUUUCAGAAUGUUAUAAAUUAUCAUAUAUGUAUACAGCAAAAGUUUGUUAUUAUCCUGGGAACAAUUAAGAGCUUUGCUUCAGAAGAGUCAUGGUUUUACAAUGCAUGUAAGAGUUGCAACAAAAAGGUUCUUUACAACACUAUUUGCAAGGACAAGCAAGAUGGAAGUGAAGGAUAUGAUGAAGUAACUGUCUUGGAAUGUCAGACUGAUCGUUGCAAUAAAAGGACCGUUGUGUCUGUUCCCAGGUUAACUUAGUUGAUUCAUUUAUUGUCCUAAACAUAUUAAAUGAUUGUUAACAAAUUCUUAUUUAAAAUUUUGACAGGAUAAAAGUUCAAAUUCGUGUUCAGGAUUGUAUCGGAAUUGUCACUUUGACAUUGUUUGAACGUGAAGUUCUUAAACUGUUAAAGGUUAACGCAAACCAGCUUUUGGAUAAAAACAUUGAGGUAAGUUAUAUCGUCGUAAUAAGAUUUUGUUACUUCCUUUAUACAUUUUAAUGUUUAUAUUUUAAACUGGUAUCUUUAUAAAUUAUGUCUCGAAGUUAUGCAAUAUGACACUCUUAAUGUUUAUCCAACAGUUAGCCAGCGAUAGCGAUGGUAACUUUCCCAAGGAGCUGAAGGCAUUGUUAAAUCGCCGGUUUGCGUUUAAGAUAACCAUAGGUUCGUUUAACAUAAAAAACAAAUCAGAUGGCUACUCGGUGUCGAAGUUGACUGAAAAUCCUUCAAUCAUUGCUGAUCUUGAUAGGCAUUUUGAUGACUUCCAGGUUCGACAUACCUUCAAUACGUUAGUUGUACUUUUUUAUUAUAAAAUCUUAUAGCACGUUACAAUGUUUAUUGAAAUAUAUGAGAUAAAUACAGCCUGCUGAUGAUGAACCUUUAAAUGCUGUUCCGUCUGAUUCAAAUGCAACUGGUAACUUUGAUGUUAAGGUAUGUCUUAGAAAUUAUGGAAUUCACUAUUGGUUCAAUAUUUUGUCAUUCACCUUAUUUUAUCAAUUUUUUGAACUUUUUAGUUUUUAUUUACAGGAUUAUGUAUCCCGUACUGGUGAUGAAGACACUCCGGUGUCUGAUGUGAACAAAAGCAUGUUUAGCACACCCUCUGGAGCUGAGAUGAACUGUUCUGUGGAGAUGGUUGAAAAUCAACUUAAGCGUAAUUUGGAUGCCGUCUAUGAUGUGGAUUUAUGUUCUUCGCAGUCGUCAACUAAACCCCGUAAGAGUGACGGUGAUAAAGAUGAAGAUGUGAAUGUGAAUGCGGGGCUUUUGAAGCUAAAGAUUGAAAAGUAGUGUGCCGAAUCUAAUAGUCAUCUCAGUAUUUUACAAAACUUUUCUAUGUUUUUUUUUUUGUUUUUAUCAUAUUCAGAACAUUUUAUGGGUUUACUUGAUGUUGGUUUUUGACCCACUAUGUUAUGCCUUUUAUCUUUGUUAAGUUUAUAUUAAUAAGAGAUGACAUUAUUAAUCAGAUGUUUUGUAUGUACGUCUAUUUCUAUUUAAUUUAUGUUGUCUUUUUUUUUUCUAUGCUAUGACAUGAUGUUACUUUUUUAACGACUCUGUAUUAUGUUUUAUGUUUAUUGUGGUUUUCCAUUGUUAUAUCAAUUGAAGAUGAUAUUAUUAAUCACUAUAUUGUGGUCUGUCCUAAUAACAUUCUUAGAAUAUUAAAGUUUGAUUUAAAAUCUUAAUUCGUUUCCAUUAUUCAAAAAAAUAAAAAAAAAAAUAAGCAUAAUAUUUAUAUUAAAGUUGUAAUGUUGCCAUAUAAACCAAAUUUAUAUUUGGUAAAUAGUAAAAUAUAAGAUCUUUUCAAUGUUGAAAUUAAGCAUAAUAUUUAUAUUAAAGUUGGAAUGUUGGAAAGUCAUUUAUAUAUAGUAACUUUUUUCGGUUUUUUAAAUUUAAAUUCAAAAAUAUUAUUCAAAGUGUUGAUUUUCCAAUAUUAAGAAAUUAAUCAUUAAUAUCAUAAUGAAUAUACUUAAAUGUUUACAUUACUAAUGUUUCCUUAAAAACAAAAUUUACAACAUAUAAAUCUCUUCAUCUCAUUUCAUCUCAUUUGUAAUUUUUAGUUCAACCACUACAUCCCUUUCACUACAAGGGUUAUUGUAAGCCAGUUUGAACAAUCGAUUACUU